rnacentral:misc_RNA from 1 species
UUUCCGUAGGUGAACCUGCGGAAGGAUCAUUAUCCAUCUUCAACCAGGUGCGGUCGCGGCCUCCAGGCAACUGGGUGGUUUCGCGCCGCAUUCCUGCAUCCUUUUUUUACGAGCACCUUUCGUUCUCCUUCGGCGGGGCAACCUGCCGCUGGAACCAACAACCAAACCUUUUAUUAACAGCAUUACCCGUUCCGAUACCAACAAUCAAUUACAACUUUCAACAAUGGAUCUCUUGGCUCUGGCAUCGAUGAAGAACGCAGC